rnacentral:misc_RNA from 1 species
GAUGCUUAGUAAACUGACAUGACUCAAAUUCUAGUACUGACCAAGACUGAAACUGAGAACAUAAUUUCUUCAAGGUAGAUAAGGAAGGAUAGCACAAUCUACAAUGAGCUUUAAGAGGAGUUAAGGUUCUAGAGCAAGCAAUAAAUCGCAGUUCACAUUUACCAAGGAUGUAUAGACCACUUGACUCAUGUCCUUUACCAAUAAUCUUCUCCGUCGUAAGAUCUUGAAACAAAUAAUGCUUAGGAAGAAAAGAAAAUAGAACAAUUUAAGUUCCGAGUAAGUUUAUUAGCGGAGCAUAAAUAAAAACAGAAGUUAGGUAGACAUAAGAUAG